UCCUGGCUCAUAGUGAACGCCUGGCGGCGUGCCUAAUACAUGCAAGUUCGAACGGACAAGUAAGAAGCUUUGCUCUUAUGAGUUAGUGGCGCACGGGUGAGUAAUUGUAUAGCUAAUCUGCCCUACACUAGAGGACAACAGUUUGGAAACGGCUGCUAAUACUCUAUACUCCUGUCUUACAUAAGUUUAGAUAGGGAAAGUUUUUUCGGUGUAGGAUGAGGCUAUAUUUGUAUCAGCUAGUUGGUGAGGUAAUGGCUCACCAAGGCUAUGACGCAUAACUGGUCUGAGAGGAUGAUCAGUCACACUGGAACUGAGACACGGUCCAGACUCCUACGGGAGGCAGCAGUAGGGAAUAUUGCUCAAUGGGGGAAACCCUGAAGCAGCAACGCCGCGUGGAGGAUGACACUUUUCGGAGCGUAAACUCCUUUUUGUUAGGGAAGAACAAUGACGGUACCUAACGAAUAAGCACCGGCUAACUCCGUGCCAGCAGCCGCGGUAAUACGGAGGGUGCAAGCGUUACUCGGAAUCACUGGGCGUAAAGGACGCGUAGGCGGAUUAUCAAGUCUCUUGUGAAAUCCUAUGGCUUAACCAUAGAACUGCUUGGGAAACUGGUAAUCUAGAGUGAGGGAGAGGCAGAUGGAAUUGGUGGUGUAGGGGUAAAAUCCGUAGAGAUCACCAGGAAUACCCAUUGCGAAGGCGAUCUGCUGGAACUCAACUGACGCUAAUGCGUGAAAGCGUGGGGAGCAAACAGGAUUAGAUACCCUGGUAGUCCACGCCCUAAACGAUGUAUACUAGUUGUUGCUAAGCUAGUCUUGGCAGUAAUGCACCUAACGGAUUAAGUAUACCGCCUGGGGAGUACGGUCGCAAGAUUAAAACUCAAAGGAAUAGACGGGGACCCGCACAAGCGGUGGAGCAUGUGGUUUAAUUCGAAGAUACGCGAAGAACCUUACCCGGACUUGAUAUCUAACAAAUCAUCUAGAGAUAGAAGAGUGUCUGCUUGCAGAAAUGUUAAGACAGGUGCUGCACGGCUGUCGUCAGCUCGUGUCGUGAGAUGUUGGGUUAAGUCCCGCAACGAGCGCAACCCACGUCAUUAGUUGCUAACAGUUCGGCUGAGCACUCUAAUGAGACUGCCUUCGUAAGGAGGAGGAAGGUGUGGACGACGUCAAGUCAUCAUGGCCCUUAUGUCCGGGGCGACACACGUGCUACAAUGGCAUAUACAAUGAGAAGCAAUAUCGCGAGAUGGAGCAAAUCUAUAAAAUAUGUCCCAGUUCGGAUUGGAGUCUGCAAACUCGACUCCAUGAAGCCGGAAUCGCUAGUAAUCGUAGAUCAGCCAUGCUACGGUGAAAUACGUUCCCGGGUCUUGUACACACCGCCCGUCA
rnacentral:rRNA from 1 species